rnacentral:tRNA from 2 species
CGGGGUGUAGCGCAGUCUGGCUAGCGCACCUGCUUUGGGAGCAGGGGGUCGUAGGUUCAAAUCCUAUCACCCCGA